rnacentral:rRNA from 1 species
UACAGAGGUGCCAAGCGUUAGGCGGAAUCACUGGGCUUAAAGCGCGCGUAGGCGGCUGUUUAAGUGUCUUGUGAAAUCCCACGGCUCAACCGUGGAACUGCUGGGCAUACUGGACAUCUCGAGGCACUCAGGGGCGAGCGGAACAAGUGGUGGAGCGGUGAAAUGCGUAGACAUCACUUGGAACGCCAAUGGUGAAGACAGCUCGCUGGGGGUGUCCUGACGCUGAGGCGCGAAAGCCAGGGGAGCGAACGGG